ACAGCAGCCGCCGCGGUAAUACGAAGGGGGCUAGCGUUGCUCGGAAUUACUGGGCGUAAAGGGAGCGUAGGCGGACAUUUAAGUCAGGGGUGAAAUCCCAGAGCUCAACUCUGGAACUGCCUUUGAUACUAGGUGUCUUGAGUGUGAUAGAGGUAUGUGGAACUCCGAGUGUAGAGGUGAAAUUCGUAGAUAUUCGGAAGAACACCAGUGGCGAAGGCGACAUACUGGAUCAUUACUGACGCUGAGGCUCGAAAGCGUGGGGAGCAAACAGGAUUAGAUACCCCCGUAGUCCCUGUCUCUUAUAC
rnacentral:rRNA from 1 species